ACGAACGCUGGCGGCGUGCCUAAUACAUGCAAGUCGAACGCUUCUUUCCUCCCGAGUGCUUGCACUCAAUUGGAAAGAGGAGUGGCGGACGGGUGAGUAACACGUGGGUAACCUACCCAUCAGAGGUGGAUAACACUUGGAAACAGGUGCUAAUACCGCAUAACAGUUUAUGCCGCAUGGCAUAAGAGUGAAAGGCGCUUUCGGGUGUCGCUGAUGGAUGGACCCGCGGUGCAUUAGCUAGUUGGUGAGGUAACGGCUCACCAAGGCCACGAUGCAUAGCCGACCUGAGAGGGUGAUCGGCCACACUGGGACUGAGACACGGCCCAGACUCCUACGGGAGGCAGCAGUAGGGAAUCUUCGGCAAUGGACGAAAGUCUGACCGAGCAACGCCGCGUGAGUGAAGAAGGUUUUCGGAUCGUAAAACUCUGUUGUUAGAGAAGAACAAGGACGUUAGUAACUGAACGUCCCCUGACGGUAUCUAACCAGAAAGCCACGGCUAACUACGUG
rnacentral:rRNA from 1 species